UGAAUUCGAUUUGUGUAUUGCAAGUAACUGAGAGAAUUGAGUAAAUGUAGUCUUUAGUAUUGAUUCUUGCAUUAGCCUUUGACAUUAUACAAUGGGGGUAUUUAUAGUGAUACAUAUGGAAUGGGAGCCCUUGGAUGAAGUGGCACGUGGCCUCAUCUCCUUAGUUCAAACGUCUGUUCUUAGGCAUGGGACUUGACUUGUUAGCUUACGG
rnacentral:lncRNA from 1 species